CACUCUUGCAGCGCCUGCUGGUGGCUGAAGACGGGACAACUUCCUGUUUCCGUCAGUGACGGGAAGUGAGUUCCGUGUCGUUCCUGCUCUCGUUCCUUCUUUUUCCAGGUCCAUGCAGUGCGGGCUGAAUUGGACUGAAAGAAGCUGCUCGGCACGGCGCCGUCUGCUUUGUCCAGGGGCCAAAUGAGUCCUGGAGGAGCUGAAAGGAGGCGACAUGAUGUGAGCAGAUGGUCUUUGAUAGAAGAAAUCUAUCUUUCUGACUCAAAGAUUUUGACUUUUCAACAAGUUGGUUGCUUGCCUGCAGCUCUUUUUUGGAUUAUUUUCCACCACUUCUGAGUCAGAAAUGAUGUAUGAAGCUGUCUGGCACAAAACCACCAUGACCUAUUCAGGAAGCGAGGAUCUGAAGCUUCUGGAGACCGGAACACAGAACAGACAAAUCCUGCUGCUGCGCAAUCCAAUAAAACGACACAAAAAGAAUUAAGAGCCAAACAAAAAGAGUCAGAGGAUGGAGUGAAGGAAAAGCGACUUGUAUCGAUUAGAAAGUGAAGGUGAUGAUACGGAGGCUCUUUGAGGCUGACAGGCUAAUGGUCCAGAUGGUAGAGGCUCCAUCUCUGACUGCAUCCCUCCAUCCAUCUCUUCAUCUGACGGAUGAUCCUGGCUGCUGCUCGUGACACGUCACUCCACAGAGGCUCGGAAAUCAGCUGCUGCACAGACGUCUGCUCCAUAAUUCAGUCGGUCUGGAGAUCAAUUCAUGGGUAUCAAACGGCAUGUGAAAACCAAAAACCCCAAACCCUCCAGAACAGGCUUUUCUGAUGCACUCAGAUAAAAAGAUAAAUUAUUUACUAAAUAAAUAACAAAAAGUAAACUACAGUGAACUGCAGCAACAUUUAGAUAAAACUUCCAGAAAACAUAAAAUUAUUGAUAUUUAAUUCUCACUUUUGAAAUCAAUCUAGAUUUGAACUUGACUCAAAAAUACCUACUUAAAAAUAUAAUUACUUAAGUUAUACUAUCAAAAAAUAUAGAAAAAAUCUUGAUUGAAAAAAAAAAUAAUUUCAGUAAAUUUAAAGCUGAUUUUGUCGCAAAGAAAAGCAAAUGUGGAACACUUUAUGUUAGUAAUUGGUUGCAUAUGGAUGAAAAGUUGAUGUGAAAAGAGGCUUUUCUCUGCGUCUGAAUCAGCUCAUGUACUUCGAACAGUUGAAGAGUGACUGUAUGUCAGAUUGUGUGUUUCUGGGUGUUCCUGGUGACAACUCCAGUGUUAAAGGUCAUAACUGUACUCACAUGUACACGCAUCUGAAGUAUUAAUGUUAGUACAGGUGUUGUUUCUCUGGGAUCAUACGGCCACCUUAAGGACAUCAUGAAAAGCGUACCAUUUAUGUGUGUAUUAUGAAGUAUUCAUAAGGUAUGGCAAGUUACACACAUUUGUUGGUGUUAUUGUUGUACAGCGCCUCAAUACCAAACUCUAGUCAUUAGCAAGAUGUGAGUACUGACCACUGAGUGAUUAGUACAGCGGCCGACACGGCUCACAUGACUGCAAAAGCCACAACACAACAACAAAGCCGAAGUGGGAUAACAAAAGCCACAACACAAUAAAAAAAGCCAAAACAUGACGACAAAAGCUGAAGUGCGACGACAAAAGCUGAAGCAUGACGACAAAAUUCGAAGCAAUACAGCAAAAGCUAAUAGAAGACGACAAAAGCUGAAGCAUGAUAACAAAAACCAAAGCAUGACGACAAAAGCCAAAGCAAGACAAUCAAAGCUAAAGCACAACAACAAAAGCCAUAACAUAAUGACAAAAGCCGAAA